rnacentral:rRNA from 1 species
GAUUUAUCGCUUUGAGAACGGCCUGCUCGGUAUCAGCUAGUUGGCGGUGUAAAAGACCACCAAGGCUAUGACGCCUAGGGGAGCUGAGAGGCUGACCCCCACCGAUGGGACUGAGACACGGCCCAUACACCUACGGGUGGCUGCAGUCGAGAAUCUUCCACAAUGGACGAAAGUCUGAUGGAGCGACGCCGCGUGAUUGAUGAAGUCCCUCUGGGACGUAAAGAUCUUUUAUGAGGGAAGAAGUUUAUUGACUGUACCUCAUGAAUAAGAGGCUCCUAAUCUCGUGCCAGCAGGAGCGGUAAUACGAGAGCCUCGAGCGUUAUCCGGAAUUAUUGGGCGUAAAGGGUGCGUAGGUUGUUCUGUUAGUCUUUUGUCAAAGCCCCGAGCUUAACUUGGGAUAUGCGAAAGAAACGGCAGAACUAGAAAGUGCGAGAGGUGUACGGAACUCAUGGUGUAGGGGUGAAAUCCGUUGAUAUCAUGGGGAACACCAAAUGCGAAGGCAGUACACUGGCGCAUAUUUGACACUGAAGCACGAAAGCGUGGGUAGCGAAUGGGAUUAGAUACCCCAGUAGUCCACGCCCUAAACGAUGAUCACUAGGUUUUCGGAGUAUCGACCCUCUGAGAGCCACAGCUAACGCGUUAAGUGAUCCGCCUGGGUAGUACGACCGCAAGGUUAAAACUCAAAGGAAUAGACGGGGACUUGCACAAGCAGUGGAUUAUGUGGUUUAAUUCGAUGGUAAACGAAGAACCUUACCAGGGUUAGAAAUCCUAUUGAAAUCCUUUAGAAACAUUGGACCUCGCAAGACAAUAGGACAGGUGAUGCAUGGCCGUCGUCAGUUCGUGGUUUGAAUUGUACCCUUAAGUGGGCUAACGAACGCAACCCUCGUUGUGUGUUACAAGUGUCACACGAGACCGCCCCCG